rnacentral:rRNA from 1 species
GACAGAGGGUGCAAACGUUUGUUCGGAUUCACUGGGCGUAAAGCGUGCGCAGGCGGCUUCGCAAGUCAGACGUGAAAUCCCCGGGCUUAACUUGGGAAUUGCGCUCGAAACUACGGAGCUGGAGUGUGGCAGAGGAAGGUGGAAUUCCACGUGUAGCGGUGAAAUGCGUAGAGAUGUGGAGGAACACCGAUGGCGAAGGCAGCCUUCUGGGCCAACACUGACGCUCAUGCACGAAAGCGUGGGGAGCAACAGG